rnacentral:misc_RNA from 1 species
AUGAUUGACCUAACGGUCUUAUCAAUAAUCCUAACACCUGCGAACCGUUUUUGGCCUCCGGGCCGCUUACAUUACAAACAUUGUGUAAAGAACGUCUUGUUGUCUUAACAAAACA